CCUACGGGCGGCUGCAGUGGGGAAUCUUGCGCAAUGGGGGCAACCCUGACGCAGCCAUGCCGCGUGAACGAUGAAGGCCUUAGGGUUGUAAAGUUCUUUUACCCGUGACGAUGAUGACGGUAACGGGGGAAUAAGCUCCGGCUAACUUCGUGCCAGCAGCCGCGGUAAUACGAAGGGGGCUAGCGUUGUUCGGAAUUACUGGGCGUAAAGCGCGCGCAGGCGGUUCGAUAAGUUGGGGGUGAAAUCCCCGGGCUCAACCCGGGAAUGGCCUUCAAGACUGUCGAGCUAGAGGACGAGAGAGGUGAGUGGAAUUCCCAGUGUAGAGGUGAAAUUCGUAGAUAUUGGGAAGAACACCGGUGGCGAAGGCGGCUCACUGGCUCGUUUCUGACGCUGAGGCGCGAAAGCGUGGGGAGCAAACAGGCUUAGAUACCCCAGUAGUC
rnacentral:rRNA from 1 species